rfam:Eubacterium sp. 3_1_31 genomic scaffold supercont1.3, whole genome shotgun sequence.
AACCCCCAGAUAGUCUGGGGGUUCCGUAGAGCUUUAGCGAUGAGCCUUUAAAAAUAAAACUCCUUUUGAUAGAAUAAGAAUGCGGUCUGGCAACUGCAUAAAAAUCAAAAG